AAGUCUAUGACAAGCAUCCAUGAGUGACUAUGUAAGUCAAAGGUUUGAAUAAAUAAGUGGGCAAGAAGAGAUACACCUCUUAUGUAAGAAUCCAGUGGUCAUGUCAGAAGUCCAUCAUCAUCAAAGCAGAACAUUACUCCCCAGUCAAGUUGGGCUAUGCCAAUGACUACCUUUCAAAGGACAAAGAAUGAAGGCAGGGAAGGAACCUGGAAAUCAUAAUCUAAGAAGGCAACUGACAUCCACAGUGGUAAUUCAGAUGUAAAGUGUCUGUUAUGGAAAUAAGUCGGUGAAGCAGCCUUUGGUCUGUGUGGACUUCCUUCUGGCCCAAGGACUAAUAAAGAGGAAACACAGGACAAGUCCCAGAUGGGGAGUGUCAGACUCCAGAUUGCAAUGAUAGUCUUCAAAAUGGCCAAGGUUAUCCAAAAGCAGGGAUGUCUGAGAAGCCGGUGUACCCAGAAGAACCAAGAGAUCCAGAGAGAGGAAGAAAGUGAGAGAGAGCAAGGGAGGGGUGUUUAUAAUGGUUGGAGAGACACAGCACCAGGCAGCUGGAGCAGCUGCGAGAUCACAUCUUCAACUGCAAAUACUAAACAGAGUGAACUAGAAGUGGAAGGCCACCGACACGCAAACCCAAAGCCCAACCAGAGAUGCGUUUCCUCCAGCAAGGACCCAGCUUCUAAGGGUUCAACAAACUGCCACCAACUGGGGACCAAGUAUUCAAGUACACAGGCCUACGGGGGACAUUUCUCACUCAAAUCACCACACUGUUCUAAAAAUAAAGCUAUUGCUAUAGAAAGUAAAUAUAGGGCAUGGUUAACAAUGGCUAUCUCAA